GACGUAGGGCGCGAGCGUUGUCCGGAUUUAUUGGGCGUAAAGAGCUCGUAGGCGGCUUGUCGCGUCGUUCGUGAAAACCUGCGGCUCAACUGCAGGCUUGCGGUCGAUACGGGCAGGCUGGAGUUCGGUAGGGGAGACUGGAAUUCCUGGUGUAGCGGUGAAAUGCGCAGAUAUCAGGAGGAACACCAAUGGCGAAAGCAGCUUUCUGGGACGGUACUGACGCUGAGACGCGAAAGCGUGGGGAGCGAACAGG
rnacentral:rRNA from 1 species